rnacentral:rRNA from 1 species
AUUGAACGCUGGCGGCAGGCUUAACACAUGCAAGUCGAGCGAGCGGCGGACGGGUGAGUAAUGUAUGGGAAACUGCCUGAUGGCGGGGGAUAACUACUGGAAAGGGUAGCUAAUACCGCAUACCAUCAGAUGUGCCCAUCUGGGAUUAGCUAGUAGGUGGGGUAAUGGCUCACCUAGGCUACGAUCCCUAGCUGGUCUGAGAGGAUGACCAGCAACACUGGAAAUGAUACACGGUCCAGACUCCUACGGGAGGCAGCAGUGGGGAAUAUUGGACAAUGGGGGAAACCCUGAUGCAGCCAUGCCGCGUGUGUGAAGAAGGCCUUCGGGUUGUAAAGUACUUUUAGCGGGGAGGCGUUACUCGCAGAAGAAGCACCGGCUAACUCCGUGCCAGCAGCCGCGGUAAUUC